rnacentral:rRNA from 1 species
UACGUAGGGCGCAAGCGUUGUCCGGAAUUAUUGGGCGUAAAGAGCUCGUAGGUGGUUUGUUACGUCUGCUGUGAAAACCUAGGGCUUAACCCUGGGCCUGCAGUGGAUACGGGCAGACUAGAGGUAGGUAGGGGAGAAUGGAAUUCCCGGUGUAGCGGUGAAAUGCGCAGAUAUCGGGAGGAACACCAGUGGCGAAAGCGGCUUCCUGGUCCGACACCGACGUUCAGGCACGAAAGCGUGGGGAGCAAACAGG